GUGAUUCUCAGAUUUCUGUGCUCUUAUAUUGCCAUUGCUGAAGCUAGAACCAAGUGAACAUCGAAGACAACCCUGAAAUACAGUCAACAGUGACAACGAGCAACACUGGGGCGUCAAGAAACAUGUUCCUCUUUUCCACAACACUUCUUUUCCUGUUUCUGGUCACCUGUUCACCAGAGAAGAAAGGCGAUUUUGGAAAACUUAAUGCCUGUAUCACUGAAAACAACAGCCUGAUGUUGGAAUGCGAGUACCCACCAUGUCCAGAGUCACCGUCCUUUGAUUGUGACUUCCUCAC